AUAUAAAUGCUAAAAAAAACAAAAAAACAACCAAGAGUGUUUACCCCCUUUCCUGCUCCAAAAGUCAACAUCCAGAACUUCCUGUAGACAGCUGGACAAAAUACAGAUCAAGAACAUAUCAGGUAAGAGCAGGGAGAAGAGGAAGACCCCACCUUUAAUAGAAAAUUGGGAAUAAAUAAAGACAUGGAGUUUUCCAGCCAUCAGGGCAGAAAGCUCAGAGGACGGAUUGUCUCUUAGCCCACCUGAGCAGAGGCAGGGAAGUAAAAUCUGAGGUCCUCUAGUGGCAAAAUACUGUACAGCAUCAGUGAAACCUGGGGUAUAUAGCUGUAUUAGCUCUAAACAGUAUAUAUCACAUUAUCAAGUGGCAAUGUUCAUAACGUUGCACACUUGUCAAACACUCGUUUUUGUCCUUCACUCCUGUUGGGUUUUUUCAUUGUCACAGAUAUCCCCAACGUUGGAGGUGUGGUUCAGGACAUAUUCAACACUCAAACACACAAAACAACUGGAGUUUAUAUACAGAAGAAGCCAGAGGACCACAAAACCUGAGUAACUUUGUAUUCAGUGACUUACCUACAGUAGCAUGUACAUGUGUUGUCAUGACAGUGACUUACCUACAUUAGCAUGUACAUGUGUUGUCAUGACAGGCUAAACAUAGGCUAAUGUGCCCUACCGUGGUCAUCAGGGAAUUGUGGGAGUUUGGUACUGCACAAGACAUUUCAAAUAAUAACACAAAUUGGAAACAAUAUAAAACGUCUCCAUCACAAUCUCAGGGUUCUUAUUGCAAACCUUCCAAGGAACAAUUGGGAACGAAGAACUAACAUUGUGAUGGAAAGCAUUGUUUCAUAGACUCUUUAAACAGACCUUUCAUUGCAAACAUACGGAAUAAAAACCUGACAUUUCACCCGUGGAUGUCCAAGAGGUGGAAUCACAGUGAACCAGGAGGCUGAUCCUAAGAGGUCCACAGUCAGAGGGGUGAAGAGUCCUACAGAAGUGCAGAAGACUGAAACCUGCUCAUAGAAACAGUCUUAUCAGAACUAUCUUGUGCCAUAAGAAAGCAUCAAGGACUCCUGGUCAUGGCUGUCUGCUGUACACUAUUUCUAUGUAACAUUUUGAAAUCAGUGAAGGAGGGGAAAUCCCAGUCUCUGGUUGAAGAGGAGGCUAGUGCAACAAACAUCAGGCUUUGGCCUUUGAGCUAUCAACAAGCCCACACUCUUUCCAGUCCCAGAAAAUCUAUCAGCAAGAACUGGGAACAUUCCUGUGGAGUGACUGCCCUUUCAGAACAGACAGCUAGGUGAGCCAUUGUGCUUUGUCAGCAGUGGGACUCACUUGGUAAACACUCGGAUACCGGUAGGCCCAUCUACCUUGAAAAACACAGUUUUUCCCUUGGGCAGCUUGACACCAUCCCACCUGGUCGGAGUUCACUUUAUCUGUACUUGUAAGUAUAGAAAACCCAGGAAAUAUUAAAAGGUCCUCCAGGGUAAAGACAGGCCUUUUCAGUCCCUCACUGGGUGAGAGAGUGGGGGUGCUGGACAUGAGGCGGGCACAGGGCCGCAGAACACAGGCAACUGCUGAUGGAUCCAAAGUCAGAAGUGACAGAAACAGAGGUGGGGAUGGCAGGUAAGGGUUGGGGGGUGGAGGACAAAGAGAAGUCCACCUGCAGCCGAUCAGAAGCCCCACCUUCGGGCCCAGUGGACAGGCCAUCGGGCAGAAAUGGUUCCAACUGCAGCUGGUAGAAGCCAGAGCCCAGAAGGGGACACACCCCUGAGGGGGACAGCGGGAUUCCGUAGGGCUGGGGAGACGGGGGGAGAUGGGCAGGGGGGGCUGUGGGACAGUGUCCCGGGCUAGGACAAUUCAGAAAGGACUCCUGAUGCUGGUCCUCCACAGUUGGGAGUUGAGUGGAGUGAGUAAACUGCCGCUCCCUCUGUGGGCUGGGACAAGGAGCACCACACAGCUCCAAAACCUCCAUCUGAACCUCAG
ensembl:lncRNA